GCUAUGGGCAAGGCCAAACAAUGGAGUGGUGGAUUCGACUUCCGCUUUACUUCCCUACUGCAGCGCGCUGGUGGCAAACUUUCCAGAGUCAAUUAUUUGACGGAGUCAAUUUCUAGAGUAAAUAAGUCAAGUACACAGAGGAGGAGGUAUACAAAGGAAACGUGUUAAAUCACCAAGCACUGCAAAAUCAUUCUGGCUAUGGAUACGGAGAACAACACAUUAACAUCCACACGCCAGAGGAUAUAUCCAUUAGACAUGGGGCUCGCUAGGAUUGGAUUCAUCACGGGAGAAAGACAGGAAGGAGGAGAGAGCCAAAGGACUUUCAUUACAGUAUCUCCCAAAGCUAUAUUCAUGCAAAUGAUUACAUUGAAGAUUGAAGCUCCUGUUGCCGUAUGGGUGAUGCAGAUGGCAAGGAAGGAGGGAUAGCCAACCUACAGCUCACAGAGGACAAAUCCACCAGCUUCAACAUGAAAGAUGCAUGUGUUGGUGAAUGCUUCGAAAACAAGGCUCAGCUGCAAAGGGAGACACUCAUAUAGGUAGCCGUAAUCAUAAUCAGAGACUUACCAGGAUAUUGUCACCAUUCUGUGUAAUGCAGAAUAACAGCUCCUGGGCUAGGUAGUUUCUACUUUAGGUGAUGGACCAAAACAGACAAGAUUUCCAUGAUACUGUUAUCCAAUCCUGUGAACCCCUGGUCUUCCAAGUGGACUGUACAUAUGUAUGACAGGUUGAUUAAUAAUGUAAGUCCUUAAGUGCUAUUCGCCGAUAUUAAUCCCCUCUCUUUCUUUCUCUCUCUGUCUUAAAUUAAAUUCAUAUCAAAAGGGGCUUUAUUUGGCAUGGGAAACAUAUGUUUACAUUGCCAAAGCAAGUGAAAUAAACAAUAAACAAAAGUGAAAAGAAAC